rnacentral:RNase_P_RNA from 1 species
UCAGAUGGCUGGGUGAUCGCGGARGUGCAAACUUUCGAGGAAAGUCCGGGCUCCACAGAGACAAGGUGCCGGGUAACUCCCGGCGGGCGCGAGCCUAGGGAAAGUGCCACAGAAAGCAAACCGCCAUUUUAGCUUCUGGCUAAAAUGGUAAGGGUGAAAGGGUGCGGUAAGAGCGCACCGCUUGGCUGGCAACAGUUAAGGUCACGGCAAACCCCACUUGGAGCAAAACCAAAUAGGAAUGGCGCAUGGCGUGUCUUUGCGCUGCUGUUCGGGUCGGUUGCACGAGGUAUCUGGUAACAGAUGCCCCAGAUGAAUGAUCGCCUCUCUUGGCCUUGGUCAAGAUGACAGAACCCGGCUUACAGGCCAUCUGAUCCA